UACGCUUUCAGAUCUAUGGCC
rnacentral:siRNA from 1 species